rnacentral:ncRNA from 1 species
AAAAAAUUUAAUUUAUAUUUAAGAGUUUAUUUUAUAGAUAAUAAUAUUAAUAAAAUUUAUUGAAGAUAAGUUAUCUAAAUUUAAAUAAUUGAUAAUUAAUUUAAUUAAUAUUUAUAAUAAUUUAUAUUAUGAUAAUAAUAAAUAGUAAUUUAUAAGGAAUAAUAAUAAAAUUAGUGCCAGCAAUUGCGGUUAUUCUAGUAUUAUGGAUAAAUUUUAUUGUAAUUAAUAAUUAAAUAGUUAAUUUAAAAAAUUUUAAUAUAGAAUAUAUUUUAUAUGGUGAAAUAUUUAAAAUAAUUUUAUGAUUAAAGAUUAAUAGAAAUAAAUUUAUAAAAUUAUGUAAAAAAUUAGGAUUAGAUACCCUAUUAUUAUAAAUAAAAUUAAUUAAGGAGAAAUUAAAUGUAAAUCAUUAAAUUUAAAAAAUUUGGCGGUAUUUUAAAUAGUUAGAGGAAUUUGUUAAUUAAAUGAUGAUCCACGAUUGGAGUGUCCUGAUAAAAUUUUAUGUAUUGUUGUAAAAAAAUUAUCUUAAAAGAGUUUAAUGAUUAAAAUAUUGGAGUUAAUUUUAAUUCAAAUCAAAAUGUAGAAUUGUUAGGUUAUAAAUGAAUUACAAUUUAAUUUAAUAUUGGAUUUAUUGUUUUAAUUAAAAUAAUGAAAUAGGAUUUAAAAGUAAAUUUAAAUAAAUUUUUAAGUUGAAAUAUAAAUUAAAAUAUGUACAAAUUGCCCGUCAUUUUCAUAAAUAAAUAAUUGAAAGAAGUCGUAACAAAGUAAAUGUACAGGAAUGUGUAUUUAGGUGGAU